AUUGAACGCUGGCGGCAUGCCUUACACAUGCAAGUCGAACGGUAACAGGUCUUCGGAUGCUGACGAGUGGCGAACGGGUGAGUAAUACAUCGGAACGUGCCUAGUAGUGGGGGAUAACUACUCGAAAGAGUGGCUAAUACCGCAUGAGAUCUACGGAUGAAAGCAGGGGAUCGCAAGACCUUGUGCUACUAGAGCGGCCGAUGGCAGAUUAGGUAGUUGGUGGGAUAAAAGCUUACCAAGCCGACGAUCUGUAGCUGGUCUGAGAGGACGAUCAGCCACACUGGACUGAGACACGGCCCAGACUCCUACGGGAGGCAGCAGUGGGGAAUUUUGGACAAUGGGGGAAAGCCUGAUCCAGCAAUGCCGCGUGCAGGAUGAAGGCCUUCGGGUUGUAAACUGCUUUUGUACGGAACGAAAAGCCCCGGGUUAAUACCCUGGGGUCAUGACGGUACCGUAAGAAUAAGCACCGGCUAACUACGUGCCAGCCGCCGCAGUAA
rnacentral:rRNA from 1 species